rnacentral:tRNA from 1 species
GCCCGCUUGGCUCAGCGGUAGAGCGCAUCACUAGUAAUGAUGAGGUCGUCAGUUCGACUCUGGCAGCGGGCA